rnacentral:rRNA from 1 species
AGUGAACGUUGGCGGCGUGGAUUAGGCAUGCAAGUCGAGCGAGAACCGUAGCAAUACGGGGACAGCGGCGAAAGGGACAGUAAUGUGUAGGUACCUACCCCCGGGUUCGGGAUAGCUGCGGGAAACUGCAGGUAAUACCGAAUAAUGUCUCCGGACCAAAGGUGUGAUUCCACCUGGGGAGGGGCCUGCAUCCUAUUAGCUUGUUGGUGGGGUAACGGCCUACCAAGGCGACGAUGGGUAGCGGGUGUGAGAGCAUGACCCGCGUCAUUGGGACAGAGACACUGCCCAGACACCUACGGGUGGCUGCAGUCGGGAAUCUUCGGCAAUGGGCGCAAGCCUGACCGAGCGACGCCGCGUGCGGGAUGAAGGCCUUCGGGUUGUAAACCGCUGUCGUAGAGGAGGAAAUGCAGGAGGGUUCUCCCUCCCGUUUGACCUAUUCUAGGAGGAAGUACGGGCUAAGUUCGUGCCAGCCGCCGCGGUAA